rnacentral:rRNA from 1 species
GUGUCAGCAGCCGCGGUAAUACGAAGGGACCUAGCGUAGUUCGGAAUUACUGGGCUUAAAGAGUUCGUAGGUGGUUGAAAAAGUUAGUGGUGAAAUCCCAGAGCUUAACUCUGGAACUGCCAUUAAAACUUUUCAGCUAGAGUAUGAUAGAGGAAAGCAGAAUUUCUAGUGUAGAGGUGAAAUUCGUAGAUAUUAGAAAGAAUACCGAUUGCGAAGGCAGCUUUCUGGAUCAUUACUGACACUGAGGAACGAAAGCAUGGGUAGCGAAGAGGAUUAGAUACCCUCGUAGUCCAUGCCGUAAACGAUGUGUGUUAGACGUUGGAAAUUUAUUUUCAGUGUCGCAGCGAAAGCGAUAAACACACCGCCUGGGGAGUACGACCGCAAGGUUAAAACUCAAAUGAAUUGACGGGGACCCGCACAAGUAGUGGAGCAUGUGGUUUAAUUCGAAGAUACGCGCAGAACCUUACCAACACUUGACAUGUUCGUCGCGACUCUAAGAGAUUAGAGUUUUCGGUUCGGCCGGACGAAACACAGGUGCUGCAUGGCUGUCGUCAGCUCGUGUCAUGAGAUGUUGGGUUAAGUCCCGCAACGAGCGCAACCCUCACUUUUAGUUGCCAUCAUUUAGUUGGGCACUCUGAAAGAACUGCCAGUGAUAAGCUGGAGGAAGGUGGGGAUGACGUCAAGUCCUCAUGGCCCUUACGUGUUGGGCUACACACGUGCUACAAUGGUAUCUACAACAGGAAGCAAAACUGCGAAGUUAAGCAAAUCCUAAAAAGAUACCUCAGUUCGGAUUGCACUCUGCAACUCGAGUGCAUGAAGCUGGAAUUACUAGUAAUCGUGGAUCAGCGUGCCACGGUGAAUGCGUUCCCGGGUCUUGCACACACCGCCCGUC